rnacentral:rRNA from 1 species
UACGGGGGGGGCAAGCGUUGUUCGGAAUUACUGGGCGUAAAGGGCUCGUAGGCGGCCAACUAAGUCAGACGUGAAAUCCCUCGGCUUAACCGGGGAACUGCGUCUGAUACUGGAUGGCUUGAGUUUGGGAGAGGGAUGCGGAAUUCCAGGGUGUAGCGGUGAAAUGCGUAGAUAUCUGGAGGAACACCGGUGGCGAAGGCGGGUCCUGCUGGGCGAACA